rnacentral:rRNA from 1 species
UACGUAGGUGGCAAGCGUUGUCCGGAAUUACUGGGUGGAAAGGGCGUGUAGGCGGGACUGCAAGUCAGAUGAGAAAUUCCCAGGCUCAACCUGGGGGCUGCAUCUGAAACUGUGGUUCUUGAGUGCUGGAGAGGAAAGCGGAAUUCCUAGUGUAGCGGUGAAAUGGGUAGAUAUUAGGAGGAACACCAGUGGCGAAGGCGGCUUUCUUGACAGUAACUGACGCUGAGGCGCGAAAUCGUGGGGUGCAAGCAGG